rnacentral:lncRNA from 1 species
UUAUGAAAUAGAAAUGAGACUUCACAUGAGUAGGACUUAAGCACAUUGUAUUAGCAAAUGAUUCAGACUUUUUCACAACACCUACUACAGGUAUAUAGCUGUUCUUGCCUUUACCAGGCUUGGGACCUCACUAACAGUUCACUAUGAACAGCAGAAAAACAAACAAAAUAUUUCACAGGUUAAUAUGAAGUUCUGCCAUUGGGCAUACGUGGGCUCCUUCUGCAUUUUAGCCCCUCAGACAAUGGUUAAAAGAAAUACUUCCUUGAAAAGAAUUUUGGCAGAAUGCCUGGUUGUGCCUUUUUUGUGGAAAGAGAAAUAAUCAGAGUUUAAGAUUUAUGCUAAAUUAUGUGCAAAGCCUAUUGGUUUGGUUAGUUGGUAAGAGGCUAGAAAGAAAAGAUUGCAGAAUUCAACAAGAAGAUAUAAUACAGGGGUAUGUGGUUACUUACAUUUCUUCAUUGCAGAUAAAUCUAUCAGUAAUUAGGGGGAGAAUACGUUCAUUCUAUUACACUUUUCUUUCCUUUUUUUUUUUAAUUAGCCUGCCAGGUACUUAUACAAUGGGCCUAUGUACAAAGUGGACGUGGCAGCAGAAUUUCAGGGCUGGAGCCCAAUGACGCAAUUUUGGUUUACUGCAACCUCCGCCUCCCUGGUUCAAGCUAUUCUCCUGCCUCAGCCUCCUGAGCAGCUGGAAUUACAGGUACAUGCCACCACACCCAGCUAAUUUUUAUAUUUUUAGUAAAGAUGGGGUUUCACCAUGUUGGCUAGGAUG